AUUGAACGCUGGCGACAUGCCUUACACAUGCAAGUCGAACGGCAGCACGGGAGCAAUCCUGGUGGCGAGUGGCGAACGGGUGAGUAAAGUAUCGGAACGUGCCCAGUCGUGGGGGAUAACGUAGCGAAAGUUACGCUAAUACCGCAUACGAUCUAUGGAUGAAAGCGGGGGAUCGCAAGACCUCGCGCGAUUGGAGCGGCCGAUAUCAGAUUAGGUAGUUGGUGGGGUAAAGGCUCACCAAGCCGACGAUCUGUAGCUGGUCUGAGAGGACGACCAGCCACACUGGGACUGAGACACGGCCCAGACUCCUACGGGAGGCAGCAGUGGGGAAUUUUGGACAAUGGGCGAAAGCCUGAUCCAGCCAUGCCGCGUGCAGGAUGAAGGCCUUCGGGUUGUAAACUGCUUUUGUACGGAACGAAAAGGUUUGGCCUAAUAAGCUGAGCUCAUGACGGUACCGUAAGAAUAAGGACCGGCUAACUACGUGCCAGCCGCCGCGGUAA
rnacentral:rRNA from 1 species